rnacentral:rRNA from 1 species
AACGAACGCUGGCGGCAUGCCUAACACAUGCAAGUCGAACGAGACCUUCGGGUCUAGUGGCGCACGGGUGCGUAACGCGUGGGAACCUGCCCUUAGGUUCGGAAUAACUCCCCGAAAGGGGUGCUAAUACCGGAUAAUGUCUUCGGACCAAAGAUUUAUCGCCUUUGGAUGGGCCCGCGUUGGAUUAGCUAGUUGGUAGGGUAAAAGCCUACCAAGGCGACGAUCCAUAGCUGGUCUGAGAGGAUGAUCAGCCACACUGGGACUGAGACACGGCCCAGACGCCAAGGGGAGGAGGAAGGGGGGAAAAUGGGACAAGGGGCGAAAGCCGGAUCCAGAAAGGCCGGGGGAGUGAUAAAGGCUUUGGGGUGGAAAGGCUCUUUUACCCGGGAGGGAAAGAAAGGAACGGGGAAAAAAGGCCCGGCUAAAUUCGGU